CGGUUCGGCCUUCGGGAACGGGGCAGGAGGAGGAGGGAGGGAGGAAGAGGCCGAGCGGCAGCAGAAGCAGCAGGAGAAGGGGAGAGGGAACCCUGGAGUCGCCGCAGCCCCGGGAGCAUCGCCCCCCAUUUUGCAGGAUUUCCCAUUGCCAACCCCUGGGAGGCUGCGAGGAAGAGGAAGAUGCCCCAGGACACUGAGGCAGAGCAGGAGCUGAGCAUGGAGAGCAGGGAGGACAAAUGCCCGCGGCAGAACCUGGUGGAAGAGGCCGUUUUGAGCGGCUCCACGGCGCAGGAAGCCAACGGGGAGGAAAAGGCCCGGAGAUGCCGCACGAGGAGGGGCUGCAAACGCAGAUGGCGGGGAUGUGAGGGGGAAAGAGCCAGCCUGGGCCGGG